rnacentral:misc_RNA from 1 species
UGCGGGAGCGGGCUUGCUCGCGAAGGCGGUCUGUCUGAGGCGGUGAUGUUGGUUGUGCCGCCGUCAUCGCGAGCAAGCCCGCUCCCACA